rnacentral:rRNA from 1 species
GACGAACGCUGGCGGCGUGCCUAACACAUGCAAGUCGAACGAGAUCCAUGGGAGCUUGCUCCCGGAAGAUCUAGUGGCGAACGGGUGAGUAACACGUGAACAACCUGCCCCGGAAUCUGGGAUAACCCGAGGAAACUCGAGCUAAUACCGGAUACCUCCCUCUGAUCGCAUGGUCGGAGGAAGAAAGAAUUUCGUUCCGGGAGGGGUUCGCGGCCUAUCAGCUAGUUGGCGGGGUAACGGCCCACCAAGGCAUCGACGGGUAGCUGGUUUGAGAGAACGAUCAGCCACACUGGGACUGAGACACGGCCCAGACUCCUACGGGAGGCAGCAGUGGGGAAUCUUGCGCAAUGGGCGAAAGCCUGACGCAGCAACGCCGCGUGCGGGAUGAAGGCCUUCGGGUUGUAAACCGCUUUCAGCAGGGACGAAAAUGACGGUACCUGCAGAAGAAGCUCCGGCUAACUACGUGCCAGCCGCCGCCGUAAUAC